GGGACCGAGGCCGAGGGACUCGGCAGAGCGGAAGUCAGUGAGUGAGACGGCGGCGGCGGCGGCGGCGGCGGUGGCGAGAGGAUGAACAACAAGUUCGACGCAUGAGGAGACUGAGGCUCAGAGAGGGAAAAGGACUUGCCGAAGACAUUAAUGAGACCCAGUCCCAGACCUCCUGACUGCUUGAAAGAUGAUGACAGUGGGGACCAUGACCAGAAUGAAGAAAACAGCGCACAGAAAGACGGUGAGAAGGAAAAAAGUGAGCGAGACAAAAGUCAGAGCAGCAGCAAGAGGAAGGCUGUUGUCCCAGGGCCUGCAGAACACCCACUACAGUACAACUACACCUUCUGGUACUCCCGGAGGACGCCAGGCCGGCCGACCAGCUCACAGAGCUACGAGCAGAACAUUAAGCAGAUCGGCACAUUCGCCUCUGUGGAGCAGUUCUGGAGGUUUUAUAGCCACAUGGUACGUCCUGGGGACCUGACAGGCCAUAGUGACUUCCAUCUCUUCAAAGAGGGAAUCAAACCCAUGUGGGAGGAUGAUGCAAAUAAAAAUGGUGGCAAAUGGAUUAUUCGACUCCGCAAGGGCUUAGCAUCCCGGUGCUGGGAGAAUCUCAUACUUGCCAUGUUGGGGGAACAGUUCAUGGUGGGCGAGGAGAUCUGUGGGGCCGUUGUCUCUGUCCGUUUCCAGGAGGACAUUAUUUCAAUAUGGAACAAGACUGCCAGUGACCAGGCCACCACAGCCCGUAUCCGGGACACGCUCCGUCGAGUGCUUAACCUACCUCCCAACACCAUAAUGGAAUACAAAACACACACCGACAGCAUCAAGGCCUGGGAGGAGUUUCAUGGCCUGGUGAACAGCAGCGGCCGCUGAUCGGACGCUUUCCCUCUCUGUCUCUCACACCCAGGCAGUUGGACUCUUGGGUUAGAGGUGGCAACCAGUGAAGAUGUGGAACAGAGCAAGUUCCUAUGCUUUAAGGACAAUUCAAGUUUUCGAAAUACAAAAAUCACAUUGUGAAAGUACCCAAGCUGGCAAUAAUCCUUUUCUGUAUGUGUGUGUCUGUCUGUCUGAAACGGAUGGGAGGCCUCCAGCAGCUCCCUCCGUCUGCUCACUGAAGGGACAUCCCCGAUCCAUGGGCUCCCCUUUUGCACUCAUCCCUGGAGGAAGGAUUCCACUAGACGCCCUGCGGCAUCGCUGACUUUAUAAAGCAGAAAGACAGAAAAGAUGACUUUGUAAUAGACAGACUUUUUAAAAAAUGGGGUUCUGGGGAGAGUCGAACCUUUCAUUUGCUGUGUGUGCCGUUGUCCACAUGCCUUCUGGGCCCUCUCUUGCUCUCUUGUGACACUUCACAAAGGGUAUUGUGAACACACGUAUGUGCCAGAGCUGUUAACGGCAAGUUUAUCAGUAUUAUGAAUGUCUGUGCAUCUGGGAAGAAUUUCUGUUGGAGUCACCGUGCUUAGCUGUAAGUGCUCCUUUCUGGCGCUGCCUUUCAGUUAUUGGGACGUUUUGGUUUUUUUCUCCCCCGUUCUCCCUCAUCCUCACUUCUGUCCUCUGAACGUGUCCAUGGUGUGUCGGUGACUGUCCAGGCCUCCUGCCAGCCUCCGGUCCUCCCCUUUCUCUUCCCAAGGACACUUCCUUUCUUCCUCAGCGUGGUUGCACACAGUGCAGCCUCGGAUGUGGGGUCUGCUCCCAUUUUGCAGAGGCGUGGGCCCCAUCUUGAGCUCCGGCUAUCGGGCUUCCCUGUGGGCAGGGCAUGAGACCCUGAGAGAGAGGCCUGUGUCUGAGGGCUGGCUGUCCCCUCGCUGAGCAGGAAGGGGAGGGAGAGGACUUUGGGAGGCCAGAUCUGGCUGGAUCUUAAGAUGUGCCGUGGGAGGAUCCCGGACAUCGGAGGUGACACGGUGGCUGUCGAUGGCUGUCACGCCUUUCCUGCCUGUUUGCAGUUGGCCAGGAGAGCUUCUUUCCGGCAAUCCUCUGUGCUUGGUGCCCACUCUGGCAAAUACCUGCUGGUCCACAGGAUGCCCAGAUGAAAUCCUUGAAAGCUUCGGUCAUCAAGCAUUAUGAGGGACCAGAUCCUUGGUCUGAGAAGUUUGAGUAACCUCUCGACUCCAGAAAGACUGAAUUAGGAAAAGUAGCACGAGUCCCCAAGGCCCAAAUAAGUGCUCAGAUUAGCCUGCAGCAACCUUCCAGUUCCCCUGACCCACUUAGCUCUUGGGAGCAAAGAUUAGCAGUGCCUUAAAAUGAGGGCCUCUCUUCAAAGCAUCCUCUAAGCCUGGGUUGGGGGAGGUGGGCCAAGGUAGGGACCCUUAACCAACUGGUCUUAGAGGGAACCUAUGAGAGUGACAGGCAUUUCCCUAUUGGGCUCAGAAUCCUUUCUUCCUCUCCAGCACCCCCAGGCACCACUGGUUUGGGGAUACUUUCCUUUUAUUAUUAUUAUUUUUUUAUCAUCCUAAAGGUUUUCAUUAGAACAAAUGGAAAAUGAAAUAGAUUGUGUGGGUGUGGUGUGUUGUGCAUUUCCACUCUUGGUAAAAUCAGGUGUGCCUAAGGAAAUUUAGGGAUGAUUCCGACUUGAGAAGUGGGGAGCAUGGAUCCUUGCACCAAGCCAAAUGGGCACAACAGGUGAAGUUGACUUUGGAGAGUACAAGGAGAGCUUCCCAUUCAUGCCCCCUCAAAGGGAAAUAGCUUUGCUCUUGCCUGGGCACAGUUGGAUUUGCCAUGGAAAUGCCAAAGAGGGCGAAUCUGGGGAGAUCUGCUCUCUUUGGGGCAUUUACCUGUGUACGUGUGGGUGGCUCUUCACCUAUGUGUGUGUGUCCAUGAAUCUGAAUCUUUUCAGUCAUGUGUUUGUGGGGGGCCUUUGUCCAUGUUCCUUUUAACUCUCAUCUGCUGUUCAGGCUCUUGAACCACUGAUAUUUUCCAGAGCUGCUCAUGUUUUUCCCCCUCCACUUCUCCCCACUUGCAGUAUUUUUCUCCUAGCCAAAAAAAAAAAAAGGGUAUAUACAUAUACAUACGUGUAUAUGUAUAUAUGUGUGUGUGUGUGUGUGUGUGUGUGUAUGUAUAUAUACUGACACAGUAUUGACUAGACCAAUUCAUCGCCCCUUUUCGAUGACAGUUAACCCUUGAUGUUUCUUUGUCCUGGCUGUCCAGCAACUUUCUUGGGAGAGCUAUGCUCUUGGCUCCAUCCAACCCCCUGUAGUUGCAAACAGAGCUGAGGGAUCUCUUUCACUGGAGCCAGCUUCUGUGUAAUGAGACAUGACAUGGUUAUAGUUCCAGGAAAUAGAGGUCAGCCAGGGCCAACCUAGCGAGCAGGGACUCAUUUCACCCCCACCCUGUCUUUCCUGCUGGCAUGAUUGCUAUCCCGUUGUCCUCUUGUAUUUUCUUUCUGAGGCACCCUUUCUGCCUCCCACUUUUUUUACCCUUCAGUUUUUGGGGUGUGUUAUUCUGUGAAACCAGAAACGUCCAUUGCGUCUUACCCAGAGUAAAGCAUAUGGUUCACGUUCCCAGAAAGGGCUUGCUGGCUGUUACUAAUGGAGAAUUAGCAGAGGCCACAGUAAGAGUGAGUGUCGCACCUUCAGAGCAUUUGUCUGCUGCAAUAAUAAAUGGAAAAAAUGGGCAAGAA